GUCUACGGCCAUACCACCCUGAAAGUGCCCGAUCUCGUCUGAUCUUGGAAAAUACACAAGGGUUGGACAAUUUAUUUGAGGGAAUAAUUAAGGAAUAUUUCCCUGGCCU
rnacentral:rRNA from 1 species